GACGAACGCUGGCGGCGUGCUUAACACAUGCAAGUCGAACGCUGAAGCUUGGUGCUUGCACUGCGUGUAUGAGUGGCGAACGGGUGAGUAAUACGUGGGUAACCUGCCCUUGACUCUGGGAUAAGCCUGGGAAACUGGGUCUAAUACUGGAUACUACAUGCCACUGCAUGGUGGUGUGGUGAAAGGGUUUUACUGGGUUUGGAUGGGCUCUCGGCCUAUUAGCUUGUUGGUGGGGUAAUGGCCUCCCACGGCGACGACAGGUAGCCGGCCUGAGAGGGUGGCCGGCCACACUGGGCCUGAGAGACGGCCCAGACUCCUACGGGAGGCAGCAGUGGGAAAUCUUGCACAAUGGGCGGAAGCCUGAUGCAGAGACGCCGCGUGCGGGAUGCCGGCCUUCGGGUUGUAAACCUCUUUCAGCGCGGAAGAAGCGAGAGUGACGGUACGUGAAGAAGAAGCGCCGGCUAACUACGUG
rnacentral:rRNA from 1 species